GGAGGAUCAUUAUUGAAUGAAUGUAGAGUUGGUUGUCGCUGGCCCUUUCGGGGGUAUGUGCACGCCUUCUCUUUCAUCCACACACACCUGUGCACUUGUGAGACGGAGGGCUUUAAUUAGUCUUCCGUCUAUUCAACCACACAAACUCAUUGUAUUUAAACUGAAUGUAAUUGAUGUAACGCAUCAUUAGAACUAAGUUUCAACAACGGAUCUCUUGGCUCUCGCAUCGAUGAAGAACGCAGCGAAAUGCGAUAAGUAAUGUGAAUUGCAGAAUUCAGUGAAUCAUCGAAUCUUUGAACGCACCUUGCGCUCCUUGGUAUUCCUUGGAGCAUGCCUGUUUGAGUAUCAUGAAAUUCUCAAAGUAAAUCUUUUGUUAAUUCAACUGGUUUUGCUUUGGACUUGGAGGUCUUUGCAGAUUUCACGUCUGCUCCUCUUAAAUGCAUUAGCUGGAUCUCAGUAUAUGCUUGGUUCCACUCGGCGUGAUAAGUAUCACUCGCUGAGGACACUGUAAAAGGUGGCCAGGAAAUACAGAUGAACCGCUUCUAAUAGUCUAUUAAGUUAGACAAUUUAAUUUUAAGAUCUGAUCUCAAAUCAGGUAGGACUACCCGCUGAACUUAAGCAUAUCAAUAAGCGGAGGAA
rnacentral:rRNA from 1 species